CCCAUCACGCGAUAUGGAGUCAAAUAAAUUGAGACGGUGACUAAAUCAAAUGUUUUCUUAUGUUUAUGUCUAAAAUAUUCAAGUAUCGCUUUUGUUUGCGUGUUGUCACGAUAUAUUAUGAUAUAGUCUUCACGGGAAAAGGCAGUGAGGAUUUUAUCCACAAAUGUGGAAAAUUCUGAUUAAGUUUGAAAGAAAAAAAGGAGAAUUACAACUGAGACGUUGUCAAGUUGUUAUAAACUUUGACAAAAAAUAGCAUCAAAAUGUCUAUACAGUUUGUAAAUGACAAUAUUGAACAAAUGGAGCGUGACGGUGCGCCCCCUAUUACCGCUCAACCAGUUCAGGAAGGCGUCGAAGGAUCACAAGGAGCGUCAGUUAGUGUAGUUCUGGACCCACAAUCGGGAGAACUGCAGCGUUUGCCGCGAAUUCGUGGACCAACAAUGAUCAGGAAGACGAGGGAAACAUUUCAUAACAGGUGGCCGUAUUCUAUAGGGGUCGCUGAAAUAUUCUUUGGAUUUUUAACGCUAGCUUUAGGUACUGUUGAAGCGAUAGUUGUUCCGUUAGCUCUGGACAUGACAGGUGAAAGAGGCAUCUCACUCGAUAAAUCAAACGUGUUUGGGGUUGGAAUAUGGACAGGAGCUAUGCUGAUCAUGACCGGGUCCCUGGCCGUCAGAGCUUCCAGAACAAAAAGGGCCACUACGGUUUAUCGAUUUUACCUUGUUACUGGGUUGUGUCUGUGUGUAUACAUUGCUGCCAUUAUCUUGCUUAUAGUUGGAUAUAGCGAUGGAUGGACUCCAGACUCAACUUUAGAGUUAGAAGCCGUUUUAUACAAAAUCCAUACCAUAAUGUCUGUGACAGUAUUUAUCGGGCUUCUCCUGGCCCUCGUGGCGUUCGUCAAUUAUUACGAGGACGUCUGGUUCGGAGAGUUGCAGCUCUGUCGGCGAUGUGGCAAAAUAUUCUGCCCUUGUGUUUGUCCGAAGUUUGCAACAUCAAGGUCGGAGGAUGAAGAAUUACGUAAUCCAUUAGUUGAUAUACCAAUGCCAAUAUGAGGAGGUACUAGUUCAGCUUGUUGAUGUUUUAGUAACUUGUGUUGUUUAUUCUAGUCACUGUGUGGUAGAUCUGUUCAAGCACUUUCAUUUCAUCUCCAGUCUCACUUACUUUUAACACACCAGGUGAUUCCUCUCAACUGUUCCUUUGUCACACAUGGUUGAAAAAAUAUGCUAAUUCUCCCCUCUCCUGCUUGUUCCUCCUUUCACAUUCUUGCUUAUCAUCCUGUCAUAGUUAUACAUUCACUUUAUUCUUGCAUGUUUACACUGGUGUUAUUGAUUCAAGUUAGUCUUUAUGUCAAUGAUUGAGCAAAACACUAACAACAGUGUCUUUGUCUUUAAUAUUGUUUGUUGAAGUGAUGAAGCAGCUAAUUGCCAGUUCAAGUCCCAAUUGUCAGGGUGAAAUAUGACAUCAUUAUUGUGAGUUUGGAACCCUUACAGUCAUAAAUAGCAAACAACUCUUACAACAUGCACAAGGAACAGUGGAUAGUUGGUGGAUUACUUAGGUAAACUGACUCCAUGAACUGUCCUUUUCAACAUGUCUUUCUCGUUCCAGUUCGAUUGUGACUGCAUGAGUUGUGAUCAGUCCAUCUCGAAGAGAGUACGUAGCAUCCCUAGUGUGCGCGUCCUCCUCAAGAGAUCAAGAGAUCGUACCCCAUCGAUGCCGAUAUAACCCAAUAGAUGGUGCUGCUAGUCCUAAUAGGGAUAACGUGUAUAUAUGUACAUAGGAUACCGCAUCAUGCAUGGUUUUAUGUGGACUCUGCAUGUGUGUUUAUUUCCUCCAGGAUAUUCUCAAGUUUCGGGGAAUCCCCACACCAACAUGACAUGAGGUCAUGCAUAGAUAUUCAACAUGACAACACCUGACUUUGUCAUCAAGAGAUUGUCCUUUCACUCAAAAACGGCCCCUGAGUCACUAUGUUGUGUAUGUUAUGUCUCAAUGCUGAGGUGUUUCAUCAGCACUUCAGAGCUGGAUUGACUUUCUCCAGUCACUUCAUUUCUAACUACUUGCUCAGUUGUCAAGUGUAUAAAUAACCAAGCUGGUCCCACUUUCAAAGCACAGAAGUAACAACCUCCAGAUAAACACUCAAUACUCACAAAAGGUCUUUGGAAAUGUUACUAAUCCUCUAUGAGUGAAUGUUAAUUUCGUUUAAUGACUUAAUCAUAUGUGGAAGGGAUCAGGAACUGACAACUGUAAACACACGUACCACACAUUACUCAAUGAUGCAUGCAGAUGUGCUAUGUAAAUACUUUGUGUAUGAACAAAUUGUGCAAUGAUGAAUGUUGUGUAUGAACAUUCAGCUAAUUUAAAACCAUUUAUUUAUGAACUUAACUUUUGAUAAUUUAUGUGCAUUUAUACAAACCUAUUUGAGCUAGGUCAUGAUGGCUGAAUCCAAUGAUGGUAUAGACCUACAUCUCUCUUGCUGUUGUCAUGAUGUAAUCUGCUUUUUCAGCAUCUUUCUAAGCCAAGUAUGUAUGUUAUAUCAUCAUUGGAAGUAAUUUAAUAUUCAACAGCUCUGAAAGCCUACUGUGUUUAUUCAAAAAUUGAAUAUUGAACUAAAUUUGUGCUAAAUAUAAAUGUUGACGAUAUCGCCAUGUAGACUGCAUAUGAAUGCUACAAUGUAUGAAUGGUAGGUUCCAGCGUCAUAGCAGCAAUGAUUUAACUGGUUCAGGUUUCUUAGGGCUGGAGGAAGAGGAGUCGGGGUUUGUGUACCACAUGGGAGUCGUGUAGCCAGAGAACUUAAUUUGGAGUUUAAAAACAUGGUGUCGGUGAACACCAGUUCUUAUUCUCAAUAAAAACAGCUCCUGUCUAGAAACCAGCCGUAGGAUCAAGUGCCGGCCGAAAUGAGGCCAUCAAAAUCAUUAAAUAAACUGAAACAAGAUGGUCUUACUGUAAACAUUGUAUUGUGAAAUUGCUUUAUCUAACAUACUUAUGCAAUCAUUUCAGGAAGUCUGUAUUUUAACAUGCUUCUGAUUAAAUUUUGUAUUUAUCUGAA